rnacentral:lncRNA from 10 species
UAACAUGCACACUCACACUAACAUGCACACUCACGCACACUAACAUGCACACUCACACACUGGUGCACACUUGCACUAACAAGCAAAUACACUCACGCACUCAUGCACACUCACACACUCAUACACACUAACAUGCACACAUGCACACAAAGUCUGUCUCCAACUGUGAAUUUGGUCACUAUGAGCUUCCACCUUUACCUGUUGUGAGGAUUGAAUAGAAGAGAGGAAAAAAAUAUUUCAAGAAAGAAGAUCCAAAUAGAAGCAGCAAUGGGUGACAGGCCCUGUAUCCUUGGCUGUCCUGUGGUCUCCCAGCUCCUGGAUGCUGUCCCUCCUGGGAGCACGGCUGCACUCCUGCCUACUGUACCAUGAGAUGUGUCCUUCUUCUUACAGUGACCACGCCCUGCCGCUCUUUCUCCCCCAGUCCACUGCCAAGCUGAGUUGAACUGUAUUUUGUUACUCACAGUCAAAAAAAUCCUAAUUCAUUAGGUUACGAUUUUAAAAAUAAAAAUAUAUCUUUCUUGGGUUGUAUCAUAAAGAAUCAGGUUUGAGAAUUUUGAUGGUUGUGGCUUGGGAAGUGAGAGGGGGAACCUGGUCUUCUAAUUAAAUAACCUUCUAUACUCUCUCGCCUUUUUCUUAUCCCAGGAAAGCCUCAGGAACUUGUUGCAAUAGGGACUGCCAGGUCCCGUUGCACUAUUGGUGGAAGAGAGGUCCACACGGUGCCUACGAUAAGCGAUUUGUUCGUAUCUAUCCAGACUGCAGGUGCAUACAGCCACUCAUCCUCAAAUGCCAUCCUCAGGAGUUUAUGCUGCACACAGACUGGCACAUGUGCAGGAAGACAUAGUGCAGGGCUACGUGCUACAACAUUGUUGGUGACAGCAACAUAUUGGAAGCAACCUGAAUUUUUGUUAAUAGAGGAUUGGCUACAUAAAUGAUGCUAAUCUAUACAACUGGAGUACUAUGAUGCCAUAAAAAAGAAUGUACAAGGUCUUUACGUUUGGAAAGAUCUCUAAGAUAUAAUGACCUGAACCUCAGGAGAUCUGGAGUAUGUGCUGAAUUCUACUGGGAACUGAGCCCUCUGAAUAUUAUUAUUGUUUUGCUAAUACUUUUUGCUGGAAAGUACAUCAAACCAGGAUGUGUUGUACCUCUUGCUUUGCCAGACUAUUUAAAAGCAAAAGUGACCAGAUAUCCAACUUAAGGCUGAUCCAGGUUUUUCAUGAUCUAGCCAGGGGAGACAAACCUUCCAGGAAAGUCUCUAGCGAAGGCCAAGGAUUUUAGAAAGUAUCUGUGAACAAAGAAAUGCAAUGUUAGUGGGCUAAUUUCCAUAAUCAAAUGAAGCUGAUGCAAGUGCUUUGUGAAUUGAUGCCCAUCAACGAGAGACUGGAUAAAGAAAAUGUGGCACAUAUACGCCAUGGAAUACUAUGUAGCCGUAAAAAUGAACAAGUUCAUGUCCUUUACAGGGACAUGGAUGAAGCUGGAAAUCAUCAUCCUCAGCCAAUUAACCCAGGAACAGAAAACCAAACACCACAUGUUCUCACUCAUAAGUGGGAGCUGAACAAUAAGAACACGUGAACACAGGGAGGGAAACAUCACAUAGCAGGGCCUGUUGGUGGGCCGGGGGCAAGGGAAGGGAGAGCAUUAGGACAAAUAUCUAAUGCAUGCGGGGCUUAAAACCUAGAUGACGGGUUGAUAGGUGCAGCAAACCACCAUGGCACACGUAUACCUGUGUAACAAACCUGCACAUUCUGCACAUGUAUCCCAGAACUUAAAAAAAAAAAGAAAUGCUUUGUGAAUUAGUCAGGUUCACUGAUGGGAGCUUUGGUCCUGGCACCUGAGGACUGAGCUGGGGGAACCCACACCCAGGCUGCCCAAACACACAGAGGCAGGAGAGGUCAAGGGGCAUCUCGUGGGUGUGGAGUUUUGGACACGGUAUUGCCAUUGUCAGACAUGUGGCUAAGCCUGCAAGGAUGAGAGAGGAAGGAGGAAACCAGCUCCUCUCAACCCUGCAUCAGCCUGAGUGCUUUCAAUCUCUCUCAACCCUUCUCCUCUCUUUUCUCUUUUCUCCUUCCCUCCUUCCCUGAUGGUUUGCCAGGAAGCACAGAAUAAUGGAGUUCAGUGUUACUCAAGGGGCAGUCACCUGCACAGUCAUUACCGGAAUGACGUGUUUCAUCAGAUGUUUCAAAUCCCGAUUCUUGGGGCCUGCUCUAAACCUGCCUACCAAGGCUCUAGGGGCGAGGCCUGGGGACCUGCAUUGUUUGCAAACACCCACAGGUGAUUCUUACAUGCACGAAGCCAGGGAAGCAUUGAUAGAAAAGGUCUUAGACCAGCAGCCAAAAAACCCAAGUUCAAAUCCAUUUACUACCUGGGUGGUCUUGGGCAAGUUACUUAUUAAUUCCCGGCAUGGGAGUCAAUACUACUUUAUAGGAAUUUUUUAUAAGUUAUAGGAGAUACGCUGUUAUGUUAUAGGAGUUAUUUUUUUCUCUUUGAAGAUUAAAAGAGACAAAACAUAUGACAAGGCUGGCAAACAUUGAGCUCUUGCUACAUAGUAGUACACAGUGCCCUAGAGAGUUAGCAAAGGGACGGUGAGCUCACAAAAAUCUUUGUAGGCCUCAGGAUAUAUAUAUUUUGCAGUGACUUUCAAGGCUGAUCUAACUCUCUUUGGAUGAACACAGAGCAAGGAGACUUGCCCACUGAGUGACUUUACUAUACCCCCAGGCCUUACUAACUUGCCCAGGAGUGGGGAAUAUAGUGCUAGAAGGAAGCCAAAGCAAUAAAGAGACACUUUCAGAAAAGCAGGCACUGCAAAGACAACCAUUCCAGCUGGAAGAGCAUGUGGUGGGAGUGGCGUCCUCUCAGACAUGAUCCUCUGCAGGGCUCAUGGGCUCAAAGUCACAGGUUCUCACCAAGGGUGAUGAUUUCCCACAGGGAGCAUCUAGCAACGUCUGGAGACAUUUUUGUCACAGGGUAGGGAAAGGGGGUUGCUACUAGCAUGCAGUGAACAGAGGCCAGAGAGGCUGCUAAACAUCCUACGGUACACUGGACAGUCUUCCACAACAGAAAACUGUCUGGCCCCAAAUGUUCAUGGUUUCAAGGCUGAAAAACACUGCUCUAAGCUAAUGCAGAAGACUUAGUCAUGGGUGAUAGAAGGAGGCCCCUAGGUGGCUACAAACCUCUGAGGGACAGCCUUCCGCUGUGGUGUUGCAAAGUCUCCCAGUUGCACAAGGUCCUGGCGUCCUGCUCAUUGGUGGAUCACCAUUAACCACCUUGCACGUCACAUGUUCAACAUAGCUAGUUUCCCACCCAUUCUUAACGAUGAUAAAUCAGGAAAAGCAUUCUUAGAACACUAGAAAAGCAGAAGUGUGGCUCUCUACAGGGCAGCGGGGAGGUUGCCUCACUCCUAGAAGAUGUCUUGUUUUUACCAAGAGGGUAGAGGGAUGAGAGGAGCUGGAAGACCACGCUGAGGAGCCACGUCCAGACACAUGAAACGAACCUCACAGCCCCACAAGGAUGCCGGGGAGGGCACUCAGUGCUUGGGAUCAGAGCCACGUGGCCACUGGUUUCCGAUGCCCCUUUGCUAGUAUCUGGCUUCCGUGAUUCCCUUGCCUUCAUUUUGUGGCUCUCUCCUGACACUGCCGGCUGAGUGUCUUAGUUAACCAGUAAUCUGGCUUUUCUCCCUCCACUUUGAUCUUCCUGUCUCUGCCUGUCUCCUCUUUCCUGGCAUGGCAUGUGCUCUCGGGCUGUACCUCUGGUAGUGAAUCUCUGGCUGCCCUGGACUCCUGCUGUGCACACUGCCCUGUGUGCAGGUCUGGAUGCCUGGUGUUCCUUCUCAGUGCACCGCCCGAUCCCCUGGGAUCUCUUCACCAUUUUCAUGCAUGGUGCCACCCCACGUGCAGGGCCAGCUUCAUGGCACGUCACCUGUGUGCUUGCAUAGGACUUGGUGCUCAGAAGGACUUCUUGAUGGGUUUCAUGCUCUGCGGCCACCGUAUUAAAAUUGUAAUAAUUUCCUCUUGAAACUUGUAUUUUGUAAGUGACUUCUGAUGAGACAGCAUGGAAUGAGCAGAAACACAGGAGAUACGUGUGCCUGUCCUUUCUUGUCACCCUAUUCACAUGGAGCAUUCGCCAUGAACUCAGAAUUCUGGUGUAUUCACAAUGUGUGGGAGUUCAUGAAGCUUCUAAGUGACUCCCAAGUGUGUUUUGUCUAUGAUGAGUUAGCUGGGGAGGGGGAGGGACACUGACAGCCCUGAGAGGCCACACUUUCCAUUUGAAAACCAAAACUUGCUUCAAACACAAAGGCAGCAGUGGUAUUCUAAGAAACACAUAUGACCAAGGAAACUUGGUUUGACCUUUCUUACUCAUGUUACUUCUUUGCAUUUGCAAACAACUUAAACUGAAAAUGAAGACACAGAAAGAAAUAGAAAGAUAAGGCAACCCAUAGGCCUUUUUUAAAUUCUUCCUUACUUGUCAGUAAGCCAAAGGUAGAGAGCAUUGAUAGAACGUGCAUGUAUCAGGCCGGGCACGGUGGAUUACGCCUGUAAUCCCAGCACUUUGGGAGGCCGAGGUGGUGGAUCACCUGAGGUCAGGAGUUUGAGACUAGCCUGGCCAACAUGGCAAAACCCUGUCUCUACUAAAAAUACAAAAAUUAGCAGGGUGUGGUGCCGGGUGCCUGUAAUCCCAGCUACUCGGGAGGCUGAAGCAUGAGAAUCAUUUGAACCCAGGAGGCAGAGGUUGCAGUGAACUGAGAUCAUGCCACUGCACUCCAGCCUGGGUGACAGAGAGGGACUCUGUCUCAAAAAAAAAAAAAAAGAAUGUGCAUUAUUGAGAAGCGAAAUAAAAGCAUUGAAUUAGUUUUGUGCAGCAUUUUCCACUGUUCUGGUAAGAAUGAAAUAUGCAAAUUGCAUCAUUUGGAACAAUUUAGCAUACAAAUUAAAUGCUCUUAUAUUUUCGUUUAAAGCUGGCUUUGCACAAUAUAAAGAUGAAUGGUAAGAUUCAUGCUAACAAUUUAAAAUUUUAAUUUUCCUUUACUUAGAGUGGCAUUAAAUAGCGAAUAAGAAUGAUUUUAAAAGCCUUGUGACAAGUCAAAAGAGAGACUGCAGAAGAAAAAAAGCGGCUUUUAUUUUAGUACCUUUCACAGCAGAGGUUGUUUUUGUUCCUGCUUUUGAAAAAGGGCUCCUACAUUUUCGGUUUGCACUGGCAAACCUUUUAAUGAAACAGUAAAGCAAAGUUCCUUACAUUAAAAAGGAGUCAUUUUUAAUCUCCCAGUCUACAUAGACCCAAUUUUCAUUUUAACAAGUUUC